rnacentral:rRNA from 1 species
AUUGAACGCUGGCGGCAGGCCUAACACAUGCAAGUCGAACGAGUGGCGGACGGGUGAGUAAUGUCUGUGAAACUGCCCGAUGGAGGGGGAUAACUACUGGAACCGGUAGCUAAUACCGCAUACCAUCGGAUGUGCCCAGAUGGGCUUAGCCAGUAGGUGGGGUAACGGCUCACCUAGGCGACGAUCCCUAGCUGGUCUGAGAGGAUGACAAGGCACACGGGAACUGAGAAACGGUCCAGACGCCGACGGGAGGCAGGAGGGGGGAAUAUUGCACAAUGGGAGCAAGCCUGAUGCAGCCAUGCCGCGUGUAUGCAGAAGGGCUGCGGGUUGUAAAGUACUUUCAGUGAGGAGGCGUUACUCGCAGAAGAAGCACCGGCUAACUCCGUGCCAGCAGCCGCGGUAAUUC